AGUGAACGCUGGCGGCAGGCCUAACACAUGCAAGUCGAACGGCAGCACAGUAAGAGCUUGCUCUUACGGGUGGCGAGUGGCGGACGGGUGAGGAAUACAUCGGAAUCUACUUUUUCGUGGGGGAUAACGUAGGGAAACUUACGCUAAUACCGCAUACGACCUACGGGUGAAAGCAGGGGAUCUUCGGACCUUGCGCGAUUGAAUGAGCCGAUGUCGGAUUAGCUAGUUGGCGGGGUAAAGGCCCACCAAGGCGACGAUCCGUAGCUGGUCUGAGAGGAUGAUCAGCCACACUGGAACUGGAACACGGUCCAGACUCCUACGGGAGGCAGCAGUGGGGAAUAUUGGGCAAUGGGCGGAAGCCUGAUCCAACCAUACCGCGUGGGUGGAGAAGGCCUUCGGGUUGUGAAGCCCUUUUGUUGGGAGAGAAAAGCAGCAGGUUGAUACCCCGCUGUUCUGACGGUACCCAAAGAAUAAGCACCGGCUAACUUCGUG
rnacentral:rRNA from 1 species